UCAAAGCUCUUCCUAGCCGACUCCGAUUUCCGCAGCUGACAGUCAAGAACAGUAACCCUCUUUCUCAAAUCCUGGAUGCUAUCCUGGAAAAGAUGUUUGGAGGUGAAGUCCUUCUAAUGAUGUUGCUACAUACUUUACUGUCACUGCCUGAGUUUGCACAUCACGCAGGUGGAUUCCAGAUGCAACCAUUCAGUCCAAACUGCUCUUGAAAAGCACAAGCAGGUGUGGCCAAUGCAUUCUGCAUGACUGUCAUCUGCACCUGGGAACACAGGCGACCCGAAAGCAGCGUCUCUGUUGGGCAGCUCGUCCUGCUGCCAGCCGUCAGCACAGCACCCGGAGCUGAGCAGCGCUGGCUGACUGACAGACAGACAGACAGACAGACAGCUGCUCACGGGCACAGCACAGACAACGCGUCCCUCCUGCACGUGGCUCACAGCAGUUCCCUUUCCUUCAAAUUAGUCGGGGCAUUUCUUAGAAAUUCCAAUCCAUAUCUGCAGAGAUCAAACCUCCUGCUUCUGCAGGACUUCCCUGCCGCUGUAACUCAUCAGCAAGAAAAGGUGGGCCCUGCAGAUGACAAAGGAUGUUUUCAUAGUCUUCAGUAGCAAAGGUACCAGCAGUGAGCCCAGGUGAGGGAAGGGCUCUUGGAGAGGAAAGUGAAAAGGUUCUAAGUUUGCUGAAUAGAAAUGAACACAGAGGCCCCGACAAAGAGUAGCAUCUUAAAAAUGCAUUGGUGGGAAUUAUUUAAAUAAACUGAUAGCAAAUAAGUCAUGGGAGAACUGCUAUAAUGAAAAGGGAGGUCUUUAUUUUGAAAUAAGACUUCCUUGAGAUAGAGGUUUAAUCUCUUCUAACCCAGAACUGCCUUCACUCCUCCAUUGUUUCUUCUGAAACCCAAUUGUUGAAUAUUAAUUCCUCUGUAAUAGCAGACUAAGUAUGACCAGAUUUCAACAAUGAAAGACCUAAAGGAAUAAUUAACGAACAAUGGACUCUUCUAUUACAAGGAAACGAUUAUCCACACCAGGACUGAAUUAGCAGAAUUUUCUGACAAACCAGAGCCGUUUCCUCCAGCAGAGAGCACAGAGGGAUGGAGGCCAUCAGCUUUCCCAGUUCUACAGUUACUGAAGCUGGCACUGCUGUGACACGGUCGGUUCUAACCCACAGAGCUGAGGGGCAUCCACCACGAGAACAGGUGGACUACAGCAUGCUGCAGCAGCACCUCGUCUCAUCCCUUUUGACUGCAGGCAUAAAGGAAGACAUAACAGCUGCAAAUAUUUUACCCAAAUAAAUGCUUGAUGGAACCCUUUGUCCCAAUGUGGCACAAAGCCACCACCACAGCUGAGUGCAGGCUGCAGAACAGAAUGGAAUACUUAUGGAGAAGGCAAGGUGCAGCUUUCUUAUGUGCCAGGUAUUUCUCCCUCGAAUUAAUUCAAAUGUUUACAGGCUUUAUCUGAGAAAUAAUCCAGCCACCACAGUCACUGAACCAAAGUCACAAGACCCCACUGGGGAGGAAAGGAACAGAAACCCUGAAAUGGCCAUACGUACAUGGGAAGGUGCAGAAUCUUUUGGGAAAAGCCCCUCAGCAUCUGUGCCUGGAAAAAAGCACAACUUUAACACUGACUCAGUCAGUGUUCAGUGCUGAGACUUCUUCCAUUAAGGACUGCACCACACCUCUACCCGUCAUAAUGAAGAUGUAUUUCUUAAUACAUAUACAAAAAAAAAGAGGCAGCAUUCAAGUUAUGGCUUCUAGACUGGCAGAAAGAAGGGUGAGGUGGGCUUCAGUACACCAAGAAAGAAGUUGCUCGUGCUUUCACUUUGACAAAACCUGUUUUUCCAUUAUUUCUCCUGAAAUAAAGCACCUCAGAGACACUGCACCCAUUCUAUUUCUUACACUUCUGUGUGGAUAAGCACCUAAACUGCAUAUCUAAAAUGCAUCCUCAUGUUUGCUCUAGGAAACAUCUACCUCCUCUGAGCACCUUCAAUGCAAAUUAAUGCAAAUUAAAGUAGCCACAGCUUAAGGCCAAAAACACGUCCCUAGAUCAGCAAAGCAGUUUUCACUUUCUUGCUGAGUGAAAAAUGGAAAGCACUUGCACUUUCACUUUCCUAAGUCGUACCCUUCCUCACCUCCAACAAUCCCUGUGUGUCAGAGGACUCAAAAAGAGGUUGAGAUAAGAAGCCUGAAGUAUAUCAUUAUAAAUUAAAUGACAAAUGGCAGUCUAGAUUGCCUAUUAUUAACUUUGUAUCACUAUGAACCUCAGUGUCAACAAUGGUUCUGAACCACAGAUGUAUAUAUAUGCACUAUAUCAACAUAUAAAAAUGUAAUAAUUUCAUAUAUACAUGUAUAUACUAUUUAUGUAUAGUUAUAUCUAUAGUUACACAUAAAAUACUUGAAAACAUGUGCAGAACACACAGAACUGUAUUUUCAUCAAAAGCCUUCUCUGUACCUCCAAAGUGGGUCUCAAACAACAGCACUGCUGCAGUGACACAUCAAUUAUUUCUCUCUUUCACUAUCUGGGCCCUUUUCAGCAGCAGUUACUCAAAACCUCGAUGGGAAAUGUUGGUAUUUAUCCCUUGGUGGGCUGCUUCACUCCCAGCAAAGCCACCUUUAGGAAACACAGCAGGACUGGACAGAAAACUAGAAGUAUGAGGACCUCACCAGGUAGAAAAGGGGCAUUGCUUGCACCAGAACCGACUGGUCCUAAUGAAAGUCCUUCUCAACAAGAGCAGCUGUGUGAGCCGAGGCUCCUCGAGGAGGACCUGCUGCCAUAUCACCCGUGUUUACUGUUUGUGCUUUCUCUUGGCUUUAGUUUGAACCGAUGGACACCAGCUCCAGUCCGGAGUGACGACCUGAGGGCCCAUUAAUGAACACAAACAUAUGGAGCACCAUUGUAACUUACUUCUGGUUACAUUCAUCCAAAAAAGAAUCUGGUUUAAUUCAUCAGGGUCUGCUGUGGAGAAGGUAACACCAUAGGAUUAACGGAGGAAGCUUCCAAGCAGUUCUCUUGCAUUUGUGGAAUGAAAGGUACCAACAAUGGUGCUUAACAGAAACACGUAACGAGCAAAAACGUAAAACUGAUCUUUGCAUAGCAGUGAACUGAAAGAUUUUUCAAAUUAUAUUUUGCAUUUUUGCAUCUGAUGCAACUGAGAGCCUCCAAGGAAGCCUGCAGCAGUACAAGAGAGAAGAAAGGGGAGCAGCUUUGGAGGAGGGCAGACAGAAGUGUUUGGUAGAAGCAGGAAACAGGGAAGUUGCUCCAGCUGGAAUUUGGGAUAUAAACAGAUUUCAAGAGAGAAUGAUUUUAUUUUA